GGGACACGUGGUAUCCUGUCUGAAUAUGGGGGGACCAUCCUCCAAGGCUAAAUACUCCUGACUGACCGAUAGUGAACCAGUACCGUGAGGGAAAGGCGAAAAGAACCCCGGCGAGGGGAGUGAAAAAGAACCUGAAACCGUGUACGUACAAGCAGUGGGAGCCUCUUUUAUGGGGUGACUGCGUACCUUUUGUAUAAUGGGUCAGCGACUUAUAUUCUGUAGCAAGGUUAACCGAAUAGGGGAGCCGAAGGGAAACCGAGUCUUAACUGGGCGUUAAGUUGCAGGGUAUAGACCCGAAACCCGGUGAUCUAGCCAUGGGCAGGUUGAAGGUUGGGUAACACUAACUGGAGGACCGAACCGACUAAUGUUGAAAAAUUAGCGGAUGACUUGUGGCUGGGGGUGAAAGGCCAAUCAAACCGGGAGAUAGCUGGUUCUCCCCGAAAGCUAUUUAGGUAGCGCCUCGUGAACUCAUCUCCGGGGGUAGAGCACUGUUUCGGCAAGGGGGUCAUCCCGACUUACCAACCCGAUGCAAACUGCGAAUACCGGAGAAUGUUAUCACGGGAGACACACGGCGGGUGCUAACGUCCGUCGUGAAGAGGGAAACAACCCAGACCGCCAGCUAAGGUCCCAAAGUCAUGGUUAAGUGGGAAACGAUGUGGGAAGGCCCAGACAGCCAGGAUGUUGGCUUAGAAGCAGCCAUCAUUUAAAGAAAGCGUAAUAGCUCACUGGUCGAGUCGGCCUGCGCGGAAGAUGUAACGGGGCUAAACCAUGCACCGAAGCUGCGGCAGCGACACUAUGUGUUGUUGGGUAGGGGAGCGUUCUGUAAGCCUGUGAAGGUGUACUGUGAGG
rnacentral:rRNA from 1 species